UGCCCAGCAACUCCUAUCCCUAACUCCUCGUGGUACUGGCCGGGGUACGAGUAACCUUGGGGAAGAUCGGGUAACCAACCCCCGGUGGGAACUUUGGUCGUAUGCUGACAGAGAAGG
rfam:Aedes aegypti strain Liverpool supercont1.268 genomic scaffold, whole genome shotgun sequence.